GAUGAACGCUGGCGGCGUGCUUAACACAUGCAAGUCGAACGAAGCAUUUAAGACAGAUUACUUCGGUUUGAAGUCUUUUAUGACUGAGUGGCGGACGGGUGAGUAACGCGUUGGUAACCUGCCUCAUACAGGGGGAUAGCAGCUGGAAACGGCUGGUAAUACCGCAUAAGCGCACAGUACCACAUGGUACCGUGUGAAAAACUCCGGUGGUAUGAGAUGGACCCGCGUCUGAUUAGCUUGUUGGCGGGGUAACGGCCCACCAAGGCGACGAUCAGUAGCCGAACUGAGAGGGUGACCGGCCACAUUGGGAAUGAGACACGGCCCAGACUCCUACGGGAGGAAGAAGUGGGGAAUAUUGCACAAUGGAGGAAACUCUGAUGCAGCGACGCCGCGUGAGUGAAGAAGUAGUUCGCUAUGUAAAGCUCUAUCAGCAGGGAAGAUAGUGACGGUACCUGACGAAGAAGCUCCGGCUAAAUACGUG
rnacentral:rRNA from 1 species